CAAUGGCUUAGUGGUAUCUGCCAUAUAUUUAUGUCAUACUAACCCGGGUUCGAUCCUUACUUUUGCAUUGUUUUUUCAUUUUUUCAAAAAAUAAAUGUGAUGACGUGGCAACUUCGGGCUUUCUGAUUGGACGAUUUUUUGUGCCUACGUAGACACUCUAAGGUGAGCUUAUAUCCCCCUUUUAGUAUAGUAUAGAUAAUAUACUAGAGUUGUUGGACCCGCGCGGGUUUCAUUUUUUUUUUGAAAAAUGAGUAGUUUAUAUGUAUUUUAAUCUUAUAGAUAGAUAACAUUUACAAUAUUACAUAUUUAUUUUACAUUACAUGUCUGCACAUAAUGUUUUUAUUUUUUAUAUUUCUAAUUUGUUGUUCAGAUUAUUCAGUUCCAUUAGUUGUUUGAAUGUAUUUGUACUUUGUAAAAUUUUGGAAUAUAAAUUAUUUACAUGUUUAUACAAAUAUGACUGUAUUUGUACGUUUUAAAAAAAUUGGAAUAUAUGUUAUUUACUACUUUAUACAAAAACAUAUAUCUAUAUUAGUGCAGCAACUUAAUUACAAUCAUACCAAAAUUAAUUACAAUCAUACAAAAACAUCUAUUAAAUGGUAAAUGUAAUUUGGACCAUAGUAACUGGUGAGAAACAAAAAUUGUAAUAUGGGUCAUAUCAUUCCAUUAUUUAAAAGAAAUCAGCCCAUUAAAACUCUGUUUGUUUUUUUUACGGGAAACCAACAACCGUUUCUUGUUCUUUUUAUCGAAAAAGGACUUUUGUGUUUCAUUAUAAACAGAGCUCAUAUCUGUCGUCGAAUCCUCACCAAAAAUCCCGACAUAGAGACUGAACACUUAUGUAUCGAAAUCUAAACCGAAGCAAUUUAAAGAUCGGCAGUGAGUAACAUUGAUAACAAAGGUUAGGAGUUUGAUUAGUAUUUAUAUUAUAAUCGAUUUCUAUUGAUAGAGUAGGGUUUGGUUUUGUUACUGAGAUAUUGGUAGAUUUGAUCUAAAUCGUGUAGAGCAGCGCUAGUUUUGAGGAUACAUACUGGAAUGGGAGAAGAUAAAAGUAAUCUCUAGAUUUGGGUGAUUAGACAUGAAACACAAUCAAUGGUUGAAAAAAGCUUCUGGAGCUUCUAUCAUGAACAUCUGUUCUAUAAAGCCUAACCUCCUAACAGAAGUUGAAGGGAGAAGACGAACAUAACAACAUAUAUGAGUUGAUAUAUUCAUAUCAGAAUCGACAUACAAAGGAGCUUCGGCAACGAUCAUAAACAAUUAUUAAUUAGAGAAGUCGGGUUGACUUAAUUGUAGAGGCUCUGUUUAAUGAGAGAGCCACCUAGUAGACUGUUCAGAAGUCACGGAAUCAACAUUGCACUUGCUUGAAGUAUUAGUAGUACCGACCAACUCCUCUUUCUAGAGAAACCGAGGGAAGGGAGAUGGACACAAAGUUGUCGAAAAAUAAUAGUGAACUUACAACGACAUGGUAAGACAUUGUUAAACCUUUGGCCUUUUUAAAAUCUUCUAUAACAUAGAAUUUGUCAAUCGUUUGAUAGAUGAUAUUAUGCCUUUUUAAUUUGCCCCAUGGUUUGGGUUGGAAGUUUUGAGACCCGAGUUCAAGUAAUCCAGAUGCAAAAGGAAGACAACAACCUUCACGAACAACAGACUUAUAAUACGGUUAGUAAUUACUUAUCUAUCAUAAGUAAAUCAUAAGAUGAAUGCAAUGUAGGACCAUCUAGAAUAGGUUGUCAGUAUGAAAGAACCAUGGAUUAAGAAUAGAUGUUUGGUUUUUACUUAUCUGAGUGAUGCAUGCCGUGCUGGUUUUUGUUAAUGAUACUCUUGUAUAACACCAAAAUUUAAAACAAAAAAAGCUUCAAAUUACCAAAGAAAAUACUUUAUUUGUUCAAAACUCAAGAAUAAGAAUUUUUUUUAAAUGGAUGUGUGAUUAAAGAAAUUGGAAGCAAAGGUUGGUUGUUUGCAUAAACUAAAACAAUUUUUCUAAACCAGCAAGCAUUCUUCCACCUGAGAGGAACUUGUGACCGACUCAAACCUGGAAAGAGCAAAAGUGGACAUUCAUUUCAAUUCAUUGUCUUCGUUGUACAUAGAAGAAAACACGCAUACAAAUAUUUUUUUUAAUAAGAACACAUCUGAACAUAAAACACUAGUAAACAUUUAAGAUUAAACUGACAUACCUUAUGGCUCCAACUGUUCAAGGUUGUCGAAAACUUCUUUAAAUACAACAUUCAUAGUUUUUUUCUGAGGUUUGCACCAUGUCUUUAGAAAGGUAAGUUACCCAUUGGUCUGCUCAAACCAUCUCGAAGCUAUCUCCAAAAGAUGGGUUUUGCUUCCAUGAAUGUAAGCUUUGAACAAGCCAAUUGGAUUUAUAAUAUCUGAGUUUUGAGAUUGGAGUAAACAUUCUUAGGUUGUUCUGCGUGAUGUGAUAUGUUUUUCAAGUUUUGAAGAUGAGAUAUAUAUAGUUGGCAAAUUGAAAGGAUAGGUUAGAAAGGAUAUACGCAUAAAAUAUUUGGUUGGUUGUGAUUUUGAGGCAUUGAAAAACGAACAUACGAUUCUGAUUUAUUUAAUACACAUUCCUUUUACAUUAAAUUAUAGCAAUAACCAGAAUAUUCUUUUUUUUUUAAAUUAGGCAUACAUGAUUAGCAAGAUUUGAAUAUAAGAUGGACAUUGUGUUAAUUGAUUGAUAUCAUUGCUUCGAAAUAGGAAUUUGUUUUAGAACGUAAUUUUGUUUGUGAAAUAUAAUAAAUGUUAUGUUUUGAUUCUGUGCAGCGUAAAAUCUAUUAAUACUAACUUUCAAAAAUCUUAGGAUAUCAACUAAGCCGAACACAUCAUAAUCUGGUCUAUUAAUUAGGCUGGUCUAGACAACAUGGGUAACAGACCAUGAUACCAAACCGAGAAACCAAAAAUAUGUUACUUAAUAUUGAUCAUAAUAGAUAUCAUGAUACAAACCAUGAUACCCAACCAAAAAA